rnacentral:rRNA from 1 species
AGUGGCGGACGGGUGAGUAACGCGUGGGUAACCUGCCUCAUACAGGGGGAUAACAGUUAGAAAUGACUGCUAAUACCGCAUAAGACCACAGCACCGCAUGGUGCAGGGGUAAAAACGUACCGGUGGUAUGAGAUGGACCCGCGUCUGAUUAGGUAGUUGGUGGGGUAACGGCCUACCAAGCCGACGAUCAGUAGCCGACCUGAGAGGGUGACCGGCCACAUUGGGACUGAGACACGGCCCAA